rnacentral:rRNA from 1 species
AGGGUGUAAACGCUGCAGACUUGGUGUUGGAGGCCCUUUGGGGGCAUUCAGUGCCGGAGAGAAGUUGUUAAGUCUGCUACUUGGGGAGUACGUCCGCAAGGAUGAAACUUAAAGGAAUUGGCGGGGGGAGCACCGCAACGGGAGGAGCGUGCGGUUUAAUUGGAUUCAACACCGUAAACUCACCAGGGAAGACUGUUACAUGAAGGCCGAGAUGAAGACUCUGCUAGAUUUUCAGAGAGGAGGUGCAUGGCGUCAGUGACU